ensembl:processed_transcript Gm11476 predicted gene 11476
CUUAUGCAUGGAGUCAUAAAGUAGGUCACACAUGUUGCAUGCUCUGCUCUGCGUCUGGCCUUUCUCAUCGGCCGGCCAUGCUCUCAAGGUUCAGCCAGGUGGUUCGCUGCGGAGGAUCUUGGAGGUAGCCUGGACUACCAAGCAACACCCUUUCUCGUGCCUGGAGGACCAGAAGUUCAAGGUCAUCGUUGACUGCACAGGGAUUUGGAUGCCUUUUUGAGGGCACUCUCCGGACACCUCUGAAGCCACACUGUGUGCACCUGCCUCCUUGUCCCCCAGCCUACUCUUGUCCCAGCUCCCAGCUCCUGUUCACUGCACAGGCUCUGACACACAGUGAGCACACACAAGAUGCUUGCUGGAGCAGCUGUGGGGAACAGGUGGAUGGUGUCAUCAGCUUCCUGCCCAGCCACUCAGGAACACAAAUGCCAGCACCCUGGCUCCUGGGGCCAUAGUGUGUUCCUCAAAGAGCUCCUAGAACCGUGGCUCCCUAAAAGCCAAAGGAAACACAUUAAGCAUCGUGGGAGGAGCCAGGCAGUGGCAGGUGCCCCGUGCAGACUACAGGCAUGACCACUGUUGCCCAUGCACCUGUAGGCUAACAGACCUGUGCUUUCUAGGAGAUGGCAUGUAAAAUUUACUUCCACAGAAAACACUGGUGUUGAAAGAGACCUUCAUGCCUAUGUGUGCAUGGUGGUCUCUCAGUGACAGCUGGCAGCGGCAGCUAUAAGACUGGCUCUAGGAUCGCCAUCUCCCAAGCCAUUGCAGCUGCUGGACAUCAAGGGACCCAUGUGGAUCCCACAGUGCAAGAGCCAGGUCCUGUGGGCUCAUCGGGGUCACCUCUCAAAGGAGGAUGUGCUGUCUGCAAGCUCUACUGAGUGGAGACCCCAGCCUGGAGCCCCAAGUGACCUGGCAGUGACCUAACAAGCCCAGGCCAGAAGGGACCUGUUGGCAGGCACCAAGAACCUGGGGUCUGGCAGGGCCUUCUGGAGGGCAGCCUGUUGGGGCCAUGUGCCAGAGGGAAUGUCUGCCCCAGCUGUAGGCUGGUCCGUGUAUCUACAGGAUGAAGUUCAGCUCCUGAGUCAAGACAGUCAGACCUGCUCUCACCCCUUGUAUGGUAGGCAGCUGCCACUCUAUCAGAUCAAAAUUCUCGUUUGCAACAUCACAGCCAUGACACAUCUGUCUAAUUUUAGGAUAGGGAGUCCAGCCAGUGCAGGCUCUUCCCAGUGAGCCAGCAGCUGGAGUGCCCCAAGGUGACUUAAGCAAGGGGAAACCAAUUUUAAUUUUUACCCAAGUACCUACGCCACACCCAUUUUGCUGUGAUCUGCUAGAUUUAACCAGUCACUCACUGGGGCAUGUGAGGCUCACCAAAGGGGACAGAUUUCCCUGGAGUCCUGAACUGACCCUCCUGCAUCACCCCUAAGGAAGAGGGCUACAGGUGUGUACAACCACAACCAGCCCUCUGUUGUUCCCAGGGUCUCUCUAGGUCAAACUCCCCACGUGAAGAGCCUUUAACAGCCCUCUCUUGGCUUGUAGUGGAGCGCAGCCUUUUAUCCCAGCACCUAGGAGCAGAGGCAGGUGGAUUGGAGAGUUGGAGGCCAGCCUGCUCUACAGAGUGAGUUCCAGAAUAGCCUGGGUUAUGUAAUAGCAAGACCCUGCCUCACCGUGCCUGACUUUGCAUCUCACCAAGCAUCAAGAGGUCUGUCCCUCAUGCACGGUGAGGGAAGAGCCUAAACUUGGCUGGAGAACUCUGAAUGUUUUCGUAAGAGGUAAAGCGCUGGUUUCAGCCAUCAGGCAGUUCCCCACUGAAUAUGCCUGGUGAAGAAGGGCACAGCCUGCUCUGUAUCAAAGCAUACUUGUUUAUUACAGGAGACUCAGACGAUGACAGAACGCUGCUUAUGGACAGUCAAGCUUGACUUACAGGGUGCCUACCUGAGAGCUAGUUUGCCCCAGAGAGAUCAAAGGCCCCACCAGCACUAGACCUCAUAGCUGCUGCUUCAGAAGGUGGAGCCACACACGUGCUUAAAAUAAAACCACGGAGCUC